GAUGAACGCUAGCGGCAGGCUUAAUACAUGCAAGUCGAGGGGCAGCACGGUUAGCAAUAACUGGUGGCGACCGGCGCACGGGUGCGUAACACGUAUACAAUCUACCUUAAACAGGGGGAUAGCCUUUCGAAAGAGAGAUUAAUACCCCGUAAUAAAUUGAACGGCAUCGUUUGAUUUUGAAAGCUCCGGCGGUUUGAGAUGAGUAUGCGUCUGAUUAGCUAGUUGGUGAGGUAACGGCUCACCAAGGCGACGAUCAGUAGGGGAUCUGAGAGGACUAACCCCCCACACUGGUACUGAGACACGGACCAGACUCCUACGGGAGGCAGCAGUAAGGAAUAUUGGUCAAUGGAGGCAACUCUGAACCAGCCAUGCCGCGUGCAGGAUGACGGCCCUAUGGGUUGUAAACUGCUUUUAUACAAGAAGAAACGACCCUUGCGAGGGGCAUUGACGGUACUGUAUGAAUAAGCACCGGCUAACUCCGUGCCAGCAGCCGCGGUAAU
rnacentral:rRNA from 1 species